GAUCAAAGAAGUUUUUUGAUAUGGUGGAGACGGGUUAUGAAGAGCCAAAUGAAGGCGAGGUACUCUCAGCUGGUGGUGAUCACUGAAAAAUAUUUUCAUGA